CUUGCCUGGGCAGUGAGGCCACAAUCCUUUGCAAACUUUUCUUCCCAGGUCUGCAUAUGGCGAGCUAUGCAUCUCCAAAAGUGUUUCGUUUUGUAGGAAAACGAGCUCUUUCGACAGCGCCGGCUCGGGACACCGAGGACUGGCUCCUUGGCCGGCUGCCCCGGUGAUAAUCUGGAAGCAAUCAGUGGAAGAAAAAGAUAACACAGCUGUGAUUUUCAAGGAGACAGGUCCUGGUUUUUCUACCUGCCAACCACGUUUCCUCUGAGGAGUUUUUCAGCAAAUGUUGUAAAAGAGACCUUUUAAUCUUGUUUCAAAAGCCUGGAAUCCCAAGUCGUUCCAGAUCUUGGGUAGAAAACAGGCCAGAAAGACAUGCUAGGCUGAGGAGCUCGGAGUCAGUGUGUGUGUGUGUGGGGGGGGGGUACCACCGCAGAGUCGGCAUCUUAGUUCUGCCAGUGCUCCAGAGGACUCGGUGAACUUGGCCUCCGGGGCUCUGGCCCACAAGUAGGAUAUGGUUUGGGAUGGGGGCGGAGGGUGUUGCAGAGGUUGAAAAGCAUAAAUCUGUCAGUGGAUGAUCUUCAGACAUCUGCCUGAAGCCCUUGGAACCAGGCAGAUAACCUGCCCAUGCCUGGGAAAAACUGAGCAGAAUGGUUGCCCCGGAGACUGCUAGGCCAGUAAUGAUUGAGUAAUUGGUUUAUUGUUCAAAUGUGGAGCCCAGAGGAAAGGAGGAGAGAGAGGAAGGGAAGGGAGAGGAGAGGAUGGGAAAAGAGGAGAGCCUAUGUUGGGAUCUGCAGAGCUUGGCAACUAGUGAUCUCUUUCUUUCUCUUUUUUUGGAGGAGCCAAUGAAAGCUGCAGAGGCACCCUCCCAGGCCCAGGUAGGGCCUGCUGUCUGGCGGAGCAGCACUCGUCAUUCUUGCCAUCAUCUUGGCUGUAGCCGUGAGACAAGAAGCCCGCAUCUCUGAUUUUCAAGGCUGUGGUGACAAGGGUCAGAAAUUUAGUACGGACUCUUUCUUCAAGGACCUCCUGGCUUCUGCACCUGGAUGGGAAAAGGAGAGUGUGAAGGCUGAUGAGAUCCACUGUGGACACAGGACCCUCAUCACAUAACUUAGACCUUGUCUAUCGCAUGUGGCAGAUCAGCCUUAGGAAGGCUAGGUUGAGUAGCAAAUAUCUGACUUGCACUCUUCUCCACGGUGCAACAAGCUGGUUUACGUUGUGUUUCACAUGCAGUGGGAUAUGCUUCAGUUACAGAAGACAUUCUGAAGAGGCCUUCACUUUAAUAAAGGACUGUAACUCUUAGAUGCUAUUAAUUUUUUUUAAUAUUGGCAAGCUAAGAAAUAACAGCAUCCUAAACAGGAAAUCUGUACCCAUGAAGAAAGAACUCUCUUCUCCUCCCCUUUAGACGGUGACCUCAUGGAACCUGAGGAGAAAGUCCUAGGUUUAGACUCCAAGCUUCCUAGGUUUAAACUUUCCAACAGGGUCACCAUUUUCUCCUUCAAUGCACAUUUAAAUUAAAGCUAGAUCCUGUUGCAUUCUCCUUAUGCUGGGCUUUAUGAUUAGGUUUCUGAGUGAUGUGGGAAGAGCAGCCAUGGAAUAUUUCCAGAGAGGCAGGACUGUCUUUGGCUAAGGGAGAAGCCUGGAAUGCAAGCUGAGCUCAAGCAUAGCCCUCAGCCUGGCAAGUGCCUGCAGCUGACCCAACAGUGAAGCAUAAUGGUCAGUUUUCUCUGAUGGGAUGAUGGAUCGGUUUCUAAAACAUGAGACUUUUUGUUGUUGUUGUUUUAAAUAUUUAUUUCAUUUUAUGCAUAUGGGUGUUUGCCUGUAUGUAUAUAUGUGCACCAUCUAUGUGCGUGAUGCCCACAGAGGCCAGGAGAGGACGUUAGAUUCCAGAGACAGGAGGUUUGUGAACCAAUGUUUGGGUGCUGGGAACUGAACUUGUAUCCUAUGUGAGAGCACCAAGUGCUCUUAACUACUUAACUCCACCUCCUAAAAAUGAAACCUCUUUUUUUAAAUCCUAAUACAUGUGGUCAUCAUGGAUUUCAAGUUUAAAAGCCAUUCACUGCUCUUGUCAUAACCAACAUGGAAAAAAUGUAUUACUUUAUAUUACAUAAUACCAUGGGCUUGCCAUUGUGCAAGCUUUAUUUCUUACCUAAUAUUGAAACAUUUUCUCUUGGAAUUUAAGUCAUGUUACUGUCUUCUUUGGCAAGAUUACUGUUAUACCUACCUGCUCUGUUAAUAUUUCAUAGGUGCAAGCCUCAGAGCAGAAGAAUGAAGUCGUUAAAAGGCACACUGAGAAAAAGUAGUAAAAUGAAUAAAUGAUAGAAAAAAGACUUCACACCUUUAAUGUAGAAAGAAUAUUUACAAAGUAAACUCCCAAAAGAAGAAACUGAAGAAGAAGGAGGAGGAAUGGAGAUGUGUAUGAAAAGGUGCUCAUUGCAGCUAGGAAUCAGUAAGAGGGCAUUGCACACCGAGUAGACACAGUUAGGAAUCAGUAAGGGGGCAAUUCACACUGAGUGGGCACAACUAGGAAUCAGUGAGGGGACAAUUCACACGUGUAGACACAGGUAGGAAUCAUUCACACUGAGUAGACAUUUUAGCAAUGUGACUGAUGGAUGAUGCCUGAUUGGAAAGAGGGUGUGGGUAGGAGGAUUCCUCACUGUAAACAGGGAGUCGGUUUGGUCUGUUACUCAGAAGAGUAGUGAUGCAGUGUGCGGCAAUAUCUAAUAUUCAAGGGUUCCUUGAUUCUGGGUGAGAUUCGGUCCCAGUAAGCCCCCGAAGGUUAAUAUUGGAAGUAGAAGUGUGUUUAAGUAAUUGGCCUGUGGACCAUGCCAGCUUAGAGCACAGAGAGGAACAGGAACAGUUAGUGUACUUGGGACAAUGAUGAUACCCAGAGUUUGCAAUGAUUUGCUAGCCCAGGCUAAUAUCAGAAUUUUUGGUUUCUACUAGGUGCAUAUUGCUUUUCAUCAUCCUUAAUUCAGAAAACCAUUCCAAACCCUCUGACGUUGAAAACAGCCUGAAUGCCUGUCAUCCAGCAUCACCAUUUCUGUGAAAAUAGUCACACUUCUUAUGUACAAGCCCAUGAAUAGUUGCCCAUUGUGACACUAGUUAUAAUAGAAAAAUGGAAAUCACAUGAAUAUUCAUUAAUAAUGAAUUAGUUAAGUCCAAACAAUGGAAACUUAUAUGAUCAUGAGAAAGUAUGAUGUCAUAUUAUUGUAUUCUGUGUGCAGAUGUCCACAAUAAAAUGUAGAAUGGAAAGGG